AUUGAACGCUGGCGGAAUGCUUUACACAUGCAAGUCGAACGGCAGCACGGACUUCGGUCUGGUGGCGAGUGGCGAACGGGUGAGUAAUGUAUCGGAACGUGCCCAGUCGUGGGGGAUAACGUAGUGAAAAUUACGCUAAUACCGCAUACGAUCUAUGGAUGAAAGCGGGGGAUCGCAAGACCUCGCGCGAUUGGAGCGGCCGAUAUCAGAUUAGGUAGUUGGUGGGGUAAAGGCCCACCAAGCCAACGAUCUGUAGCUGGUCCGAGAGGACGACCAGCCACACGGGAACUGAGACACGGUCCAGACUCCUAGGGGAGGCAGCAGUGGGGAAUUUUGGACAAUGGGCGAAAGCCUGAUCCAGCCAUUCCGCGUGCAGGAUGAAGGCCCUCGGGUUGUAAACUGCUUUUGUACAGAACGAAAAGGUUUCUACUAAUACUAGGAGCUCAUGACGGUACUGUAAGAAUAAGCACCGGCUAACUACGUGCCAGCCGCCGCAGUAA
rnacentral:rRNA from 1 species